UACGGAGGGGGCUAGCGUUGUUCGGAAUUACUGGGCGUAAAGCGCGCGUAGGCGGACCUGCAAGUCGGGGGUGAAAGCCCGAGGCUCAACCUCGGAACUGCCUUCGAUACUGCGGGUCUCGAGUCCGGGAGAGGUGAGUGGAAUUCCUAGUGUAGAGGUGAAAUUCGUAGAUAUUAGGAAGAACACCAGUGGCGAAGGUGGCUCACUGGCCCGGUACUGACUUUGAGGCGCGAAAGCGUGGGGAGCAAACAGG
rnacentral:rRNA from 1 species